rnacentral:rRNA from 1 species
UGGGGAAUAUUGGACAAUGGGGGGAACCCUGAUCCAGCCAUGCCGCGUGUGUGAAGAAGGCCUUAUGGUUGUAAAGCACUUUAAGCGAGGAGGAGGGUACUGGUAUUAAUACUACCAGGUACUGGACGUUACUCGCAGAAUAAGCACCGGCUAACUCUGUGCCAGCAGCCGCGGUAAUACAGAGGGUGCGAGCGUUAAUCGGAAUUACUGGGCGUAAAGCGCGCGUAGGUGGUUCGUUAAGUUGAAUGUGAAAGCCCCGGGCUCAACCUGGGAACUGCAUCCAAAACUGGCGGGCUAGAGUAGGGCAGAGGGUGGUGGAAUUUCCUGUGUAGCGGUGAAAUGCGUAGAUAUAGGAAGGAACACCAGUGGCGAAGGCGACCACCUGGGCUCAUACUGACACUGAGGUGCGAAAGCGUGGGGAGCAAACAGG